UACGUAGGGUGCGAGCGUUGUCCGGAAUUAUUGGGCGUAAAGAGCUUGUAGGUGGUUUGUCGCGUCUGCUGUGAAAAUCCGAGGCUCAACCUCGGACUUGCAGUGGGUACGGGCAGACUAGAGUGUGGUAGGGGAGACUGGAAUUCCUGGUGUAGCGGUGGAAUGCGCAGAUAUCAGGAGGAACACCUAUUGCGAAGGCAGCUCGCUGGGACGUAACUGACGA
rnacentral:rRNA from 1 species